UACAGAGGUCUCGAGCGUUGUUCGGAUUCAUUGGGCGUAAAGGGCGCGUAGGCGGCGGGGUAAGUCUGGUGUGAAAUCUCGGAGCUCAACUCCGAAAUUGCACUGGAUACUGCUCUGCUAGAGGGCUGGAGAGGAGAUCGGAAUUCACGGUGUAGCAGUGAAAUGCGUAGAUAUCGUGAGGAAGACCAGCGGCGAAGGCGGAUCUCUGGACAGCUCCUGACGCUGAGGCGCGAAGGCUAGGGGAGCAAACGGG
rnacentral:rRNA from 1 species